rnacentral:rRNA from 1 species
AUUGAACGCUGGCGGCAUGCCUUACACAUGCAAGUCGAACGGCAGCAUGAUCUAGCUUGCUAGAUUGAUGGCGAGUGGCGAACGGGUGAGUAAUACAUCGGAACGUGCCCUGUAGUGGGGGAUAACUAGUCGAAAGAUUAGCUAAUACCGCAUACGACCUGAGGGUGAAAGUGGGGGACCGCAAGGCCUCAUGCUAUAGGAGCGGCCGAUGUCUGAUUAGCUAGUUGGUGAGGUAAAGGCCCACCAAGGCGACGAUCAGUAGCUGGUCUGAGAGGACGAUCAGCAACACUGGGACUGAGACACGGCCCAGACUCCUACGGGAGGCAGCAGUGGGGAAUUUUGGACAAUGGGGGCAACCCUGAUUCAGCAAUGCCGCGUGUGUGAAGAAGGCCUUCGGGUUGUAAAGCACUUUUGUCCGGAAAGAAAUCGCACUUACUAAUAUUAGGUGUGGAUGACGGUACCGGAAGAAUAAGGACCGGCUAACUACGUGCCAGCCGCCGCGGUAAUAC